rnacentral:lncRNA from 1 species
GCGUAUUUUCCCGCUCCCUUUUCAAAUUUGCACAGAAAUGUCGAUGAUCUUUCCACUUAGAGACAUCGCCUGCAGCUAUAUCUUUAGUAGUAAUCAUACUAAGUUGAGUUUGAGCCCUUUCAUUCACAUUAUCCUGGUAACUACAUUCAGUUAACUGUCGAUCCUCAGGACAGUUAGGAACAACUGCCUGUGUUGACUUCUCAUGUGGUUCACAGUCUUCUCCUGUGUUGUCUUCAUCGAACAGUC